ACAGACUAAAAAUGAUCCCAGAUGUUGUAUGUUGUCUGGGUUCGGAUAACUGUGCCCAAAGUACUGUGGUGCUUUUAUCAUGUUUGUCUGCUGGUAGCCACGUGAUGAAAAACACGCACCAACAUGC